UACGGAAGGCAGCAGGGGGAAUAUUGCACAAUGGGCGCAAGCCUGAUGCAGCCAUGCCGCGUGUAUGAAGAAGGCCUUCGGGUUGUAAAGUACUUUCAGUCGUGAGGAAGGUGUUAAGGUUAAUAACCUUAGCAAUUGACGUUAGCGACAGAAGAAGCACCGGCUAACUCCGUGCCAGCAGCCGCGGUAAUACGGAGGGUGCGAGCGUUAAUCGGAAUUACUGGGCGUAAAGGGCACGCAGGCGGUUAAUUAAGUUGGAUGUGAAAUCCCCGGGCUUAACCUGGGAAUGGCAUUCAAGACUGGUUAGCUAGAGUCUUGUAGAGGGGGUAGAAUUCCAUGUGUAGCGGUGAAAUGCGUAGAGAUGUGGAGGAAUACCGGUGGCGAAGGCGGCCCCUGGACAAAGACUGACGCUCAUGUGCGAAAGCGUGGGGAGCAAACAGGGAUUUAGAUACC
rnacentral:rRNA from 1 species